GGGAAGUUCAAAUUGAUUCAAAGAGCUGCUAACUCUUUAAAGAGUAAUUAAUAAUUAUUCACUUCCCU
rnacentral:tRNA from 1 species